rnacentral:rRNA from 1 species
UGCGAGUCGACGUAGCAAUACGUGGCAUACGGCUCAGUAACACGUAGUCAACAUGCCCAGAGGACGUGGAUAACCUCGGGAAACUGAGGAUAAACCAUGAUAGAUCAUAAUAUCUGGAAUGAUUUAUGGUUCAAAUCUAUAUGGCCUCUGGAUUGGACUGCGGCCGAUCAGGCUGUUGGUGAGGUAAUGGCCCACCAAACCUGAAACCGGUACGGGCUCUGAGAGGAGAAGCCCGGAGAUGGGCACUGAGACAAGGGCCCAGGCCCUAUGGGGCGCAGCAGGCGCGAAAUCUUUGCAAUAGGCGAAAGCCUGACAAGGUUACUCUGAGUGAUUUCCGUUAAGGAGAUCUUUUGACACCUCUAAAAAUGGUGUAGAAUAAGGGGUGGGCAAGCCUGGUGUCAGCCGCCGCGGUAAUACCAGCACCCCGAGUGGUCGGGACGAUUAUUGGGCCUAAAGCAUCCGUAGCCGGUUCUUUAAGUCCUCCGUUAAAUCCAUCUGCUUAACAGAUGGGCUGCGGAGGAUACUAUAGAGCUAGGAGGCGGGAGAGGCAAGCGGUACUCAGUGGGUAGGGGUAAAAUCCGUUGAUCCAUUGAAGACCACCAGUGGCGAAGGCGGCUUGCCAGAACGCGCUCGACGGUGAGGGAUGAAAGCUGGGGGAGCAAACCGGAUUAGAUACCCGGGUAGUCCCAGCUGUAAACGAUGCAGACUCGGUGAUGAAUAGGCUUAGUGCCUAUUCAGUGCCGCAGGGAAGCCGUUAAGUCUGCCGCCUGGGGAGUACGGUCGCAAGACUGAAACUUAA